AAUUUCGACAGAGUGUCGGCUGUAUUUGAGAAAAUCGAAAAAUUUUACAUGUAGAAAACACUUCCAAUAUAAUAUUUCAUCAAUUCACAACCACCAUUAUAGCUCAAAUUAGCACAAUUUCUUCCAAACUCCAUAAUUCAAUCAAUAUGUCACAACUCAAAAUUCAAUUCAAUUAUUUCCAAAAAUAGUAAUAAUUAAUUUCAUA
rnacentral:misc_RNA from 1 species